GACGAACGCUGGCGGCAUGCCUAAUACUUGCAAGUCGAGCGAACAGAUGAAGUGCUUGCACUUCUGACGUUAGCGGCGAACGGGUGAGUAACACGUAAGGAAUCUACCUAUAAGCGGGGGAUAACAUUCGGAAACGGGUGCUAAUACCGCAUAAUAUCUUCUUCCGCAUGGGAGAAGAUUGAAAGACGGCUCUGCUGUCACUUAUAGAUGACCUUGCGGUGCAUUAGUUAGUUGGUGGGGUAACGGCCGACCAAGACGAUGACGCAUAGCCGACCUGAGAGGGUGCUCGGCCACAUUGGGACUGAGACACGGCCCAAACUCCUACGGGAGGCAGCAGUAGGGAAUCUUCCGCAAUGGGCGAAAGCCUGACGGAGCAAUGCCGCGUGAGUGAAGAAGGCCUUCGGGUCGUAAAACUCUGUUAUAAGAGAAGAACAAAUUGUAGAGUAACUGCUACAGUCUUGACGGUAUCUUAUCAGAAAGCCACGGCUAACUACGUGCCAGCAGCCGCAGUAA
rnacentral:rRNA from 1 species